CGGGGAGUGGCGCAGCUUGGUAGCGCACCUGCUUUGGGGGCAGGGGGCCGGGGGUUCGAAUCCCCCCUCCCCGA
rnacentral:tRNA from 1 species